GAAACGACCUGCUGAAUUUAAGCAUAUUACUAAGCGGAGGAAAAGAAACUAACCAGGAUUCCCUCAGUAGCUGCGAGCGAAGAGGGAAGAGCCCAGCGCCGAAUCCCCCGUCCCCUCGUGGGCGCGGGGAAAUGUGGCGUACGGAAGUCCGCAUCGCCCGGCGCGGGCCGGGGGCCUGAGUCCUUCUGAUGGAGGCUCAGCCCGUGGACGGUGUGAGGCCGGUAACGGCCCCCGCCCCGCCGGGGCGCGGACUUCUCAGAGUCGGGUUGUUUGGGAAUGCAGCCCAAAGAGGGUGGUAAACUCCAUCUAAGGCUAAAUACCGGCACGAGACCGAUAGCGAACAAGUACCGUAAGGGAAAGUUGAAAAGAACUUUGAAGAGAGAGUUCAACAGGGCGUGAAACCGUUAAGAGGUAAACGGUUGGGGUCCGCACGGUCCGCCCGGGGGAUUCAACCCGACGGUCACGGGUCGUCCCCGCUGGUGUUGCGCGUGCCCCCUUCCACCCGCCCUACGUCCCUCGGGGCGGCAGUGGCGGGCGGGGGCCGCCCGCCGGUUGGGGUUUUUCCACGGCCGCCGUCGGGCGCAUUUCCUCCGUGGCGGUGCGCCGCGACCGGCUCCGGUUCGGCUUGGAAGGGUCCGGGGGCGAAGGUGGCUCGAGGCCUAAACCGCCUCGUGCUUUACAGCGCCCCCCCGCCCCGACUAUCGCCGCAUUCCGGGGCCGCGGACGAGUCACCUCCGCGCCCUCCCUUUCUGCCCCUCCCCCCUUUCGGGGGGCGGUGGGGUCUGAAGGGGACGGGGCCCCUCCGCCUCCGACGCGGCUGUCGGCCGGGCCGGACUGUCCUCAGUCCGCCGCCCGACCGCGCCGCGCCGCCCUGGGCGGGGACCGGCCCACGAAACGGGCGCUCGGGGUCAGCGGCGAUGCCGGCCACCCAACCGACCCGUCUUGAAACACGGACCA
rnacentral:rRNA from 1 species